GGAAUGUAGCUCAGUGGUAGAGGGUGUACUUUGCACAUACAAGGCCUUGGGUUCAAUCCCCAGCACCA
rnacentral:tRNA from 1 species